AUGACAUUGAUCCUGGACGAGUAUCCGGCUUUGUGCGUGGCGCUCUACCACGCGGACCUCGAGGACUAUCGGGGCGUGUGCGACCCUGGCGAGCCUUUCGCACGCAUCACCGCAGUCAGACAGAUAACCGACUCGAAACCGUUGACUGAGACGAAUUGAAUCCGCAAGCAAACCGACGGAGCAUCAGCGCCGUAAUAAGCUGCGAGCGUUCCUCCUUCACCACUUACCGUUCUCAUGCUCUGCUCAUUUCGCGUAUUGUGCCACGAACGAAAUAGACAUCACCUGUGCAACACAAUAAAACUGUUCUUGUACAGUGUAAUCUGGUGACGUAGUCGCACGCAAACAACGCAUAUACGUAUACGUAUUGCUUCAAUAAAGCGCUCUACAUGUACUUCCAAAAGUG